AAAAUAAGUGAAUCCAAGGGGACAACAGCCCUUUCCAGAGGACAGUCUUACCCUCCAGAAAAAUCACAAGAGGAAUUGCAACUAAGAAAAUUCAACCUUCUGCCCCAAAUGCUGAAAUGUUAACAAAAACUAUUUAAUACUUAAAUAUUUGAAACCCCUAAACUAAUUCAUCUGUUUGAUAUAGUUCCAUCUUCUACCCACACCACCACUAGCCUCUUUUUUUCUAAUAUGAAACUGCAUACCUUGACCAUCAUUCCCUGCAGGAUGCCAAAAAUCCUGGAAGACCUACCCGCGAUGUUCUGGGAGUGUGGACAAAGGUGGACCUUGACCUCCGGAUCAGUACUUAGGAUGGAGCCCUUGGACGGAACAGCUACCUGGAAAUUCUCGCCUGGGUCUUGUGCUUGACUGAUUAAGAAGCCAUAGGCCAGAGAAUGUGUCCAUAGGGAAAUUAGUCGUCUGCUUAAAGAUCUGUUUUUACCUCCAACUCUCGUAAUUAAUUCCCAGUUACAGUUUGAUGAUUCUUUACUCCCUGCCCUGAUUUUUUCUUUGCAUUUUGGUCUCCUUUCCUUAGUUAUAAGCCAUUUCAUACUUACCCAAAGUCAUUCCUCCACAGCCAUUUAAAUUUAAAAAAUAUCUAGCUAUGUCUAGUGGUAGAAAGGACUCCAGCAUUAAGCCAGAGGUCCUAGGCGGGAUGUGAAGUAGUCCCAGAUGGUAGGAACGCCUGGUUUAUAGUAGAAACAAUAUUUUAAAAAUUGUCCCUAGAGGAAAGCAUUCCCUUUUAAGCCCCUGCGCUGAUAGAGUUGUGCACAGUGUGGAACAGAAAAUCACAAAGAGGAUACCAUAAUCUUCAAUAAGUAGCCUCCUAGGAAGGGCCCUAAAAUCCCACCUCAUAACAUACAAUCAAAUGUUACUAAUUGAGCUUUAUUGUGGUUGGCAAAUAUUCUGAUUCCAUGGUUAUUUUAACAUUAUUGUGUGGUUUUAAAAGCAUUAUGUGGUCAUGGUAAGAAAUUUGGGAAAUGUAAAAAAGCAUAUGGAAUAAUUAUUACUCCUAAUAUUUGUCAACUCUAAUCCCCUGUGCAUGACUUUUGUCCUCUCACAACCCACAAGAAACCACAGCAGAGCAUAAGUAGUUACUAGGACUCUUAGUGGCAGAUCACUCUCAGAUCAAAUAAAGGUAUAAAAUAUUUACUAUUAGAAAUUAAUGUCAUUAAAAAUUAAAUACAUUAUUUUAAAAAUUACCAAAGACAUAAAUAAGCAACCAUGAGUAAGAAUCAGCAGAAACAACAACAGAUGAAGAGAGCUAAUGGUUUCAGAUAUUGGAAUUAUCAGAUACAGAGUAUGAAAUGAAUAUCUAUAAAACGUUAAAUAUAAAAAAUGUUUAAAAAUGAGCAAGUAACAAGACUAACAAAAAUGAAAAGACUGGAUUGAUUUUCAAAGAACUGAAAAAUAUAUUUUAGAAAUUAAAAUAGAAAUGUUGAAGUUAAAAUUCAAUGGAUUAUGUCUCAUAAAUUGCUGAUGAGAGUGUAAAUUGGUACAACUCCUUUGAAGAGCAUUUUGCUGUUGUCCUUUAAAGUUAAAGAUAGGCAUAGUCUAUGACCCAGCAAUUCCACUCCUGGGUAUAUACCACAGAGCUGCACUUUCAAAUAUGGCAACUACUAGACACUUGGGACUGCAAGCAUACUCUGUUUUAUUGUGCUUUGCUUUAUUGUGCUUCACAGAUAAUGCAUUUUCUACUAAUUAUUACCCUCCACCAGCAAAAGAUUACAACUUGCUGAAGGCUCAGAUGAUGGUUAGCAUGUUUUAGCAAUGAAAUAUUUUUAAAUUAAGUGGUCUGGAACUUAAGCUGAAGUAUCUCCAAGGUCCAGCUUCCAGCAAAAAAGAAUUUACAAGUCAUGCCAAAAGGCAGAAAAAAUACAGAGACAGAAAAAGCCUCACAAUUGGACUCAGAUUGACACAG
rnacentral:lncRNA from 1 species